UCGAGAAUCUUUCGCAAUGGGGGAAACCCUGACGACGCGACGCCGCGUGAGCGAUGAAGGCCUUCGGGUUGUAACGCUCUGUCACUAGGAAGGAAAGCUUUGAAUGAAUAAUUCAGUAGUUUGACAUUACCUGGAGAGGAAGCCCCGGCUAACUCCGUGCCAGCAGCCGCGGUAAUACGGAGGGGGCAAGCGUUGUUCGGAUUUACUGGGCGUAAAGGGUGCGCAGGUUGACAAGAAAGUGAUUCGUGAAAUCCUAAAGCUUAACGUUAGAACUGCGUUUUAAACUUCUUGUCUUGAGUAUUGAAGAGGUAAGUAGAAUUCUCAGUGUAGCGGUGAAAUGCGUAGAUAUUGAGAGGAAUACCUUUGGUGAAGACGGCUUACUAUUCAAAUACUGACGCUCAGGCACGAAGGUAUGGGGAGCAAACA
rnacentral:rRNA from 1 species